UAUAUGCAGUCGAGCGAAGGAUUAGAGCUUGCUCUUAUGAAGUUAGCGGCGGAGGGUGAGAAAAAAGAGGGUAACCUGCCCAUAAGACUGGGAUAACUCCCGGAAACCGGGGCUAAUACCGGAUAAUAUUUUGAACUGCAUGGUUCGAAAUUGAAAGGCGGCUUCGGCUGUCACUUAUGGAUGGACCCGCGUCGCAUUAGCUAGUUGGUGAGGUAACGGCUCACCAAGGCAACGAUGCGUAGCCGACCUGAGAGGGUGAUCGGCCACACUGGGACUGAGACACGGCCCAGACUCCUACGGGAGGCAGCAGUAGGGAAUCUUCCGCAAUGGACGAAAGUCUGACGGAGCAACGCCGCGUGAGUGAUGAAGGCUUUCGGGUCGUAAAACUCUGUUGUUAGGGAAGAACAAGUGCUAGUUGAAUAAUCUGGCACCUUGACGGUACCUAACCAGAAAGCCACGGCUAACUACGUGCCAGCAGCCGCGGUAAUACGUAGGUGGCAAGCGUUAUCCGGAAUUAUUGGGCGUAAAGCGCGCGCAGGUGGUUUCUUAAGUCUGAUGUGAAAGCCCACGGCUCAACCGUGGAGGGUCAUUGGAAACUGGGAGACUUGAGUGCAGAAGAGGAAAGUGGAAUUCCCAUGUGUAGCGGUGAAAUGCGUAGAGAUAUGGAGGAACACCCAGUGGGCGAAGGCGACUUUCUGGUCUGUAACUGAACACUGAGGCGCGAAAAGCGUUGGGGGAGCAAACCAGUGAUUAGAUACCCCUGGGUAGUCCACGCCCGUAAACGAUGAGUGGCUAAGUUGUUAAGAGGGGUUUUCCGCCCCUUUAGUGCUGAAAGUUUAACGGCAUUUAAGCACUUCCCGCCCUGGGGGG
rnacentral:rRNA from 1 species